GACGAACGCUGGCGGCGUGCCUAAUACAUGCAAGUAGAACGCACAGUUUAUACCGUAGCUUGCUACACCAUAGACUGUGAGUUGCGAACGGGUGAGUAACGCGUAGGUAACCUGCCUGGUAGCGGGGGAUAACUAUUGGAAACGAUAGCUAAUACCGCAUAAUAUUGAUUAUUGCAUGAUAAUUGAUUGAAAGAUGCUAUUGCAUCACUACCAGAUGGACCUGCGUUGUAUUAGCUAGUAGGUGAGGUAACGGCUCACCUAGGCGACGAGACAUAGCCGACCUGAGAGGGUGAUCGGCCACACUGGGACUGAGACACGGCCCAGACUCCUACGGGAGGCAGCAGUAGGGAAUCUUCGGCAAUGGACGAAAGUCUGACCGAGCAACGCCGCGUGAGUGAAGAAGGUUUUCGGAUCGUAAAGCUCUGUUGUAAGAGAAGAACGGGUGUGAGAGUGGAAAGUUCACACUGUGACGGUAUCUUACCAGAAAGGGACGGCUAACUACGUG
rnacentral:rRNA from 1 species